rnacentral:piRNA from 2 species
UGAGUGUCCUAGUUGGGUUCCUCCGAC